UUAUUUCUAGCAAAACUGACACCAAUUCCACCAAGAACACACCUCCCAACUCCUUAGCUACUAACUCCCCUCAACCUUCAUACCUCACAAAGCUAUUUGACACCAAUCUUCUAGAUCCAUUCACUCUACCAUCACCACUUAGUGCGUUUAUUCCUCCCAUAUUGAAUCAAAGUAUACAACCUCUUUCAACCAUCUUUCAUCACCUCAACAAGUCAUCAAUUCUGCGCUGCUCACCUUUACUUAACCCAAACUCUGGCCUUAUAAAGAAUCAACCUCACUCACCAUCAACAUCCCUCUCAACAACUCAAUUAGACCCACCUUGACAGCUCCAAAACAGAACCCACUAAUUUAUCAAUUAAAGUUUAUUUUAUUGUGAAUUGAAUUUAAUUAUUUAUAAUAUGAGGGAUUAAAAGUACUUACUUAUUACCUUUGUUAGCAUUUAACAAGGCAAUUAACAGUGGGGUUCAAUUGUAGUGAAUUUCAAAGUUCAUGAUAUAUUUGUUAAAUAAAAAUAGUUUAGGGUACAA
rnacentral:misc_RNA from 1 species